GACGAACGCUGGCGGCGUGCCUAACACAUGCAAGUCGAACGGAGAGAUACGAGAGCUUGCUCUUGUAAAUCUUAGUGGCAAACGGGUGAGUAACGCGUAAACAACCUGCCCAACGGAUGGGGACAACAGACGGAAACGACUGCUAAUACCCAAUAGACUCCGGUUUCGCAUGAAACCGACAGGAAAGGUGGCCUCUCGAAGAAGCUACCGCCGCAGGAGGGGUUUGCGUUUGAUUAGUUAGUUGGUGGGGUAACGGCCUACCAAGACGAUGAUCAAUAGCCGGUCUGAGAGGAUAAACGGCCACACUGGAACUGAGACACGGUCCAGACCCCUACGGGAAGCAGCAGGGGGGAAUCUUCCGAAAUUGACGAAAGUCUGACGGAGCAACGCCGCGUUAGUGAAGAAGGCCUUCGGGUUGUAAAACUCUGUUAUUCGGGAAGAACGAUUAGUUUGUAAAUAAGGAACGGAAGUGACGGUACCGAAAGAGAAAGCCACGGCUAACUACGUG
rnacentral:rRNA from 1 species